rnacentral:tRNA from 1 species
ACAUUGGUGGUUCAGUAGUAGAAUUCUUGCCUUCCACACAGGAAGCCUGGGUUAGAUUCCUGGCAAUGCA